rnacentral:rRNA from 1 species
UGGGGAAUAUUGCACAAUGGGCGCAAGCCUGAUGCAGCCAUGCCGCGUGUGUGAAGAAGGCCUUCGGGUUGUAAAGCACUUUCAGCGAGGAGGAAGGUGGUGAACUUAAUACGUUCAUCAAUUGACGUUACUCGCAGAAGAAGCACCGGCUAACUCCGUGCCAGCAGCCGCGGUAAUACGGAGGGUGCAAGCGUUAAUCGGAAUUACUGGGCGUAAAGCGCACGCAGGCGGUUUGUUAAGUCAGAUGUGAAAUCCCCGGGCUCAACCUGGGAACUGCAUUUGAAACUGGCAAGCUAGAGUCUCGUAGAGGGGGGUAGAAUUCCAGGUGUAGCGGUGAAAUGCGUAGAGAUCUGGAGGAAUACCGGUGGCGAAGGCGGCCCCCUGGACGAAGACUGACGCUCAGGUGCGAAAAGCGUGGGGAGCAAAACAGGAUUAGAUACCCUGGUAGUCCACGCUGUAAAACGAUGUCGAUUUUGGAGGUUGUGCCCUUGAGGCGUGGCUUCCGGAGCUAACGCGUUAAAUCGACCGCCU